AGCGAACGCUGGCGGCAGGCUUAACACAUGCAAGUCGAGCGCCCCGCAAGGGGAGCGGCAGACGGGAGAGUAACACGUGGGAACGUACCCUUUGGUUCGGAACAAUCCAGGGAAACUUAGGCUAAUACCGGAUAAGUCCGUAAGGAGAAAGAUCUAUCGCCGAAGGAUCGGCCCGCGUCUGAUUAGCUUGUUGGUGAGGUAACGGCUCACCAAGGCGACGAUCAGUAGCUGGUCUGAGAGGAUGAUCAGCCUCACUGGGACUGAGACACGGCCCAGACUCCUACGGGAGGCAGCAGUGGGGAAUAUUGGACAAUGGGGGCAACCCUGAUCCAGCCAUGCCGCGUGGGUGAUGAAGGCCUUAGGGUUGUAAAGCCCUUUCGGCGGGGAAGAUAAUGACGGUACCCGCAGAAGAAGCCCCGGCUAACUUCGUGCCAGCAGCCGCAGUAA
rnacentral:rRNA from 1 species